rnacentral:tRNA from 1 species
GCUCCAGUAGCUCAGUUUGGUUUUAGAGCGCGACAUUGGUAAUGUCGAGGUCCCGAGUUCGAAUCUCGGCUGGAGCU